rnacentral:rRNA from 1 species
CCUACGGGGGGCAGCAGUAGGGAAUCUUCCACAAUGGGCGAAAGCCUGAUGGAGCAACGCCGCGUGGGUGAAGAAGGUCUUCGGAUCGUAAAACCCUGUUGUUAGAGAAGAAAGUGCGUGAGAGUAACUGUUCACGUUUCGACGGUAUCUAACCAGAAAGCCACGGCUAACUACGUGCCAGCAGCCGCGGUAAUACGUAGGUGGCAAGCGUUAUCCGGAUUUAUUGGGCGUAAAGGGAACGCAGGCGGUCUUUUAAGUCUGAUGUGAAAGCCUUCGGCUUAACCGGGGUAGUGCAUUGGAAACUGGGAGACUGGAGUGCAGAAGAGGAGAGUGGAACUCCAUGUGUAGCGGUGAAAUGCGUAGAUAUAUGGAAGAACACCAGUGGCGAAAGCGGCUCUCUGGUCUGUAACUGACGCUGAGGUUCGAAAGCGUGGGUAGCAAACAGGAUUAGAUACCCCAGUAGUC